rnacentral:rRNA from 1 species
AGGAUGACCUGCGGAGGUCAUUACCGAGUACCGGGUCUCUCAGGCCCUUACUCCCACCCUUUGUGUACCUAUCUUACCUUUAGUUGCCUUGGCGGGCACCUCUAUCCCUAGAGGUCCCGCCAUGGGAACGCCCAUUAAACUCUUGUCAACGGUGUAGUCUGAGUAUAAGUUUAAUAAAUUAAAACUUUCAACAACGGAUCUCUUGGUUCUGGCAUCGAUGAAGAACGCAGCGAAAUGCGAUAAGUAAUGUGAAUUGCAGAAUUUAGUGAAUCAUCGAAUCUUUGAACGCACAUUGCGCCCUUUGGUAUUCCGAGGGGCAUGCCUGUUCGAGCGUCAUUUCAACCCUCAAGCUCUGCUUGGUAUUGGGCCCUCGUCCGCCUAGGACGUGCCCGAAACUCGUAGGCGGUAGUGCCCAGCUCCUGGCGUAGUCAUGUUACCCGCUCUGGAGGACUUGGGACCCACCCGCCGGAUAACCUCUGUUUCUCUAUGGUUUGACCUCGGAUCAGGUAGGGAUACCCGCUGAACUUAAGCAUAUCAUAGGCGGGGAGGGAA